rnacentral:rRNA from 1 species
AUUGAACGCUGGCGGCAGGCCUAACACAUGCAAGUCGAGCGAGCGGCGGACGGGUGAGUAAUGUAUGGGGACUGCCCGAUAGAGGGGGAUAACUACUGGAAACGGUAGCUAAUACCGCAUACUAUCGGAUAACCCAUAUGGGAUUAGCUAGUAGGUGAGGUAAUGGCUCACCUAGGCGACGAUCCCUAGCUGGUCUGAGAGGAUGAUCAGCCACAGUGGGACUGUGACACGGCCCAGACUCCGACGGAGGCAGCAGUGGGGAUUAUUGGACAGUGGGCGCAAGCCUGAUGCAGCCAAGCCGCGUGUCUGAAAAAGGCCCUAGGGUUGUAAAGUACUUUCAGUCGGGAGGCGUGACCGACAGAAGAAGCACCGGCUAACUCCGUGCCAGCAGCCGCGGUAAUUC